AACGAACGCUGGCGGCAUGCCUAACACAUGCAAGUCGAACGAAGCCUUCGGGCUUAGUGGCGCACGGGUGCGUAACGCGUGGGAAUCUGCCCUUGGGUUCGGAAUAACAGUUAGAAAUGACUGCUAAUACCGGAUGAUGACGUAAGUCCAAAGAUUUAUCGCCCAGGGAUGAGCCCGCGUAGGAUUAGGUAGUUGGUGGGGUAAAGGCUCACCAAGCCGACGAUCCUUAGCUGGUCUGAGAGGAUGAUCAGCCACACUGGGACUGAGACACGGCCCAGACUCCUACGGGAGGCAGCAGUGGGGAAUAUUGGACAAUGGGCGCAAGCCUGAUCCAGCAAUGCCGCGUGAGUGAUGAAGGCCUUAGGGUUGUAAAGCUCUUUUACCAGGGAUGAUAAUGACAGUACCUGGAGAAUAAGCUCCGGCUAACUCCGUGCCAGCCGCCGCGGUAG
rnacentral:rRNA from 1 species